rnacentral:tRNA from 1 species
GCGGGCAUAGCUCAGCUGGUAGAGCAUCGGCUUCCCAAGCCGAGGGUCGUGGGUUCGAAUCCCAUUGCCCGCUCCA